rnacentral:rRNA from 1 species
GUCUUAACCGGGCGUUAAGUUGCAGGGUAUAGACCCGAAACCCGGUGAUCUAGCCAUGGGCAGGUUGAAGGUUGGGUAACACUAACUGGAGGACCGAACCGACUAAUGUUGAAAAAUUAGCGGAUGACCUGUGGCUGGGGGUGAAAGGCCAAUCAAACCGGGAGAUAGCUGGUUCUCCCCGAAAGCUAUUUAGGUAGCGCCUCGUGAAUUCAUCUCCGGGGGUAGAGCACUGUUUCGGCUAGGGGGCCAUCCCGGCUUACCAACCCGAUGCAAACUGCGAAUACCGGAGAAUGUUAUCACGGGAGACACACGGCGGGUGCUAACGUCCGUCGUGAAGAGGGAAACAACCCAGACCGCCAGCUAAGGUCCCAAAGUCAUGGUUAAGUGGGAAACGAUGUGGGAAGGCCCAGACAGCCAGGAUGUUGGCUUAGAAGCAGCCAUCAUUUAAAGAAAGCGUAAUAGCUCACUGGUCGAGUCGGCCUGCGCGGAAGAUGUAACGGGGCUAAACCAUGCACCGAAGCUGCGGCAGCGACGCUGAUGCGUUGUUGGGUAGGGGAGCGUUCUGUAAGCCUGCGAAGGUGUGUCGUGAGGCAUGCUGGAGGUAUCAGAAGUGCGAAUGCUGACAUAAGUAACGAUAAAGCGGGUGAAAAGCCCGCUCGCCGGAAGACCAAGGGUUCCUGUCCAACGUUAAUCGGGGCAGGGUGAGUCGACCCCUAAGGCGAGGCCGAAAGGCGUAGUCGAUGGGAAACGGGUUAAUAUUCCCGUACUUGGUGUUACUGCGAAGGGGGGACGGAGAAGGCUAUGUUGGCCGGGCGACGGUUGUCCCGGUUUAAGCGUGUAGGUGUGUGUUCCAGGUAAAUCCGGUUCACUUUAACACUGAGGCGUGAUGACGAGGCACUACGGUGCUGAAGCAACAAAUGCCCUGCUUCCAGGAAAAGCCUCUAAGCAUCAGGUAACAUCAAAUCGUACCCCAAACCGACACAGGUGGUCAGGUAGAGAAUACCAAGGCGCUUGAGAGAACUCGGGUGAAGGAACUAGGCAAAAUGGUGCCGUAACUUCGGGAGAAGGCACGCUGACACGUAGGUGAAGUGAUUUACUCAUGGAGCUGAAGUCAGUCGAAGAUACCAGCUGGCUGCAACUGUUUAUUAAAAACACAGCACUGUGCAAACACGAAAGUGGACGUAUACGGUGUGACGCCUGCCCGGUGCCGGAAGGUUAAUUGAUGGGGUCAGCGCAAGCGAAGCUCCUGAUCGAAGCCCCGGUAAACGGCGGCCGUAACUAUAACGGUCCUAAGGUAGCGAAAUUCCUUGUCGGGUAAGUUCCGACCUGCACGAAUGGCGUAAUGAUGGCCAGGCUGUCUCCACCCGAGACUCAGUGAAAUUGAACUCGCUGUGAAGAUGCAGUGUACCCGCGGCAAGACGGAAAGACCCCGUGAACCUUUACUAUAGCUUGACACUGAACAUUGAGCCUUGAUGUGUAGGAUAGGUGGGAGGCUUUGAAGUGUGGACGCCAGUCUGCAUGGAGCCGGCCUUGAAAUACCACCCUUUAAUGUUUGAUGUUCUAACGUGGACCCGUGAUCCGGGUUGCGGACAGUGUCUGGUGGGUAGUUUGACUGGGGCGGUCUCCUCCUAAAGAGUAACGGAGGAGCACGAAGGUUGGCUAAUCCUGGUCGGACAUCAGGAGGUUAGUGCAAUGGCAUAAGCCAGCUUGACUGCGAGCGUGACGGCGCGAGCAGGUGCGAAAGCAGGUCAUAGUGAUCCGGUGGUUCUGAAUGGAAGGGCCAUCGCUCAACGGAUAAAAGGUACUCCGGGGAUAACAGGCUGAUACCGCCCAAGAGUUCAUAUCGACGGCGGUGUUUGGCACCUCGAUGUCGGCUCAUCACAUCCUGGGGCUGAAGUAGGUCCCAAGGGUAUGGCUGUUCGCCAUUUAAAGUGGUACGCGAGCUGGGUUUAGAACGUCGUGAGACAGUUCGGUCCCUAUCUGCCGUGGGCGCUGGAGAACUGAGGGGGGCUGCUCCUAGUACGAGAGGACCGGAGUGGACGCAUCACUGGUGUUCGGGUUGUCAUGCCAAUGGCACUGCCCGGUAGCUAAAUGCGGAAGAGAUAAGUGCUGAAAGCAUCUAAGCACGAAACUUGCCCCGAGAUGAGUUCUCCCUGAGACUUAGAGUCUCCUGAAGGAACGUUGAAGACGACGACGUUGAUAGGCCGGGUGUGUAAGCGCAGCGAUGCGUUGAGCUAACCGGUACUAAUGAACCGUGAGGCUUAACCUUACAACGCCGAAG